rnacentral:lncRNA from 1 species
CAAAUCAAACUAUUAUCUACUUUGUUUGGUGAUUGGAUCUUUUGAGACUAUUGUAAGUUGUCUUUUGAAGAAAUUUAGUCUUGCCGUCUUAUGUGCAAUGUAGUUGGUACUAAAAAAUUAAGAUAGUUUAUUCCCAUCUUCUUCUUUGUUCCUAAACAAGGUACCCAAGCAAUCAUACUUAGUGGUAAUCCAAAUAUUGAUUCCAUCCCCCUCUCUUUUUUUAACCCGAUUUGAUGUAUCAUUUGUCAUUCCAAUUCCCAUUUGAGGCUCACAUUUGAGCCAUCACACAAUAGGGCUAAAUUUCUUUAC